rnacentral:rRNA from 1 species
GGGUGAGUAACGCGUAUCCAACCUGCCCAUCACUUGGGAAUAACCUUGCGAAAGUAAGACUAAUGCCCAAUGACAUUUAUAGAAGGCAUCGGAAAUGAGUUAAAGAUUUAUCGGUGAUGGAUGGGGAUGCGUCUGAUUAGCUUGUUGGCGGGGUAACGGCCCACCAAGGCGACGAUCAGUAGGGGUUCUGAGAGGAAGGUCCCCCACAUUGGAACUGAGACACGGUCCAAACUCCUACGGGAGGCAGCAGUGAGGAAUAUUGGUCAAUGGGCGAGAGCCUGAACCAGCCAAGUAGCGUGCAGGAUGACGGCCCUAUGGGUUGUAAACUGCUUUUAUAGGGGAAUAAAGUGAGCCACGUGUGGUUUUUUGCAUGUACCCUAUGAAUAAGGACCGGCUAAUUCCGUGCCAGCAGCCGCGGUAAUACGGAAGGUCCGGGCGUUAUCCGGAUUUAUUGGGUUUAAAGGGAGCGUAGGCCGGAGAUUAAGCGUGUUGUGAAAUGUAGAUGCUCAACAUCUGCACUGCAGCGCGAACUGGUUUCCUUGAGUACGCAUAAAGUGGGCGGAAUUCGUGGUGUAGCGGUGAAAUGCUUAGAUAUCACGAAGAACUCCGAUUGCGAAGGCAGCUCACUGGGGCGCAACUGACGCUGAAGCUCGAAAGCGCGGGUAUCGAACAGGAUUAGAUACCCUGGUAGUCCGCGCGGUAAACGAUGGAUGCCCGCUGUUGGGCCAAC